CAGCGGAGCGGAGUUGUUUGUGCGGCGUCUGUCUAGCUCCGGAUCCUUUUUCUCUCACGUUCCGGGUUUUAAGAUGCCCAAGAAUAGGGAGGAGGCGGGAGCCGGGGACUCGCACACAUCUGGCUCCAGUUUGGUUCCCUCCCUCGAUCUAAACCCCUGGAUUAAAAAUAGUGGGGGGCGGGGGCGAAGACGCGGAGAUCAGGGGAGGCGCCGAGGGGUGCUCGGGCUCAGAGGACCAAGUGCCCCUAACCGUGGAGCAGGAGGGUGGGGGCGGCACAGGUGCUUUUUGCGGGGUUCUGAAUGGCAGAGGCCUUUUUCUCAAUUUCACGUGAAUCUUGUGAUCUUUGUCUUGCUAGCGGAACGGGCGUUUUUGAGGAAUCGUUAUUUGUACAUUAAAAAAAAAAAAAAAAAGUAAAUCCAACACAGCACAGCCCAGAAACGUUUGCAUUUCAGUAGAAAUGAUGGACUUCCUCGGGUUAAAAGGUAAGCCCAAAUACAUUUUAAAAAUUAUUCAGUAAACCUCUCUAAUGUUGGUUGAGGAUGCCCCUUGUCCCAGGCCCUUGAAGGCCGUAGUUACUGGGCCAGAGGUUACCAGCCCCGUGGGCUUUGGCACAGAUGGGGCGAUGGAGAGCUUCUGGAUCCAUCCCCCACCCCCCCAACACACACACCUUUGUCUUUAAAUGAUUUUUCUUGCCUUGUCCUGGGACCAUGGGGCUGGGUGGGCCCAUGCUCUCCAAAGCAGCACUUUCUGGGCAACGGACAGGACUGGCUUCCUUGGCAUGUAACCUGUCCAGUUACACAGGGAUCUUUACUUGGUUUGAGUGUCCGCUGUUGCUGUUUUUUGGUUUUUUUCUCUUAAUGUUUAUUUACUUUUGAGAGAGAGAGAGAGACAGAGUGUGAGCGGGGAAGGGCAGAGAGAGAAGGAGACACAGGAUCCCAAGCAGGCUCCAGGCUCCCAAGCUGUCAGCACAGAGCCUGAUGUGGGGCUCAAACCCACAAACCCAGAGAUCCUGACCUAAGCCGAAGUCAGAUGCUUAACCAACUGAGCCACCCCUCUCCUGUUGCAAUUUUGAAAUUAUUUAUAGUGUUGGAACAGGGGCUCAAUAUUUUUACUUUGCAGUGGGUCCCACAAAUUACAUAGCUGUUCAGUAUUUCCUUCUGAGGGUCUUGCUAGAGAGCAAGAGAUACAGCCCCCGCUCCUUCCUACUCUUCAAGCACAGUAGACUUUUCCAUCCUCCUGAAUGUACCAAGAAAACAUGCAGAGGUUUUAAGUAAAUAGCAACCAUGGAACAAAUUAAGAGAUUAAAUAUAUGUCUCAAAUAUAGUUAGUAUACGUAAGGGGUAUAUACAUGCAUUUGGAGAGCUAUAAGUGUUCCAGAGAUAGUAAGAGUAUCACCUUGAGUCAAGGAGAAACUAGUGGUUUACCCUAGGUUCAUGCUUAUCACAGCCAUGAUCUUUGUGGACAUGGAUUGGUGUUCACCCACCUUUGAUGCUGAGUGCUGGUAUAUAGUGCUGAAAAGAGAACUAGACGGGAGGAAUGCUUGGGUUCUGUUUAUUUCCUAGCAGCCCUGAAACCUUGAGUAAGACUUAGCAAUUCUUCAGUUUCUUCAUAAACAGGGCUAACAAGGCCAAUCUUGUCUUUCUCAGGUUUGGGGGCCAUUGACAGUCUAUGAGAAAGCACUGAACAAAGGAGGAUCCCCUUGUUCUCUAAAUCCCCAUAAGGCUAAGGCAUCUAUCCAGUUCUCACCUUUGGGCAUUGCUUUUCUCCUGGAGGUGCUGAAACAUAUCCCACUCAGUCAUUCCUGAACUUCCAGGAACAGACAUUUGUCCAUGUCAGAAGUAUCCAUCCAAUGGGCAUCUCUAUGGCUCCACCCUCCACUUUCAGAGUACCCAAAUGGCAAGGUGGCAGGUGAGAUGAAUUAAUUUCUGCAGGUAGGCAAGUGAAUUGGUGUCAUCACCACUCAUUAAUCCAGUUCCCUGCUAAUAGCAGUGAAUGGCCCAGAUGGCAGACCAGGCAGCCAGAGGAGCAAAGGAAAACAUUCUAAAGUCCAGGAGUCACCAGGUCCCCACUUGGAUACCCUGAUGCCAGAUUCCAGUUCUCUGAGCUUUGGGUUCGGCAUCUGUAGUGUCAGGAUAAUACCACAAGGUAGGAUUGCUGGGAAGAAUAAAUGGCUACACAGUGAAGGUAGUGUGUUAAUAAGCAGCACACUGCAAAUAGAUCAGUGGCAACCCUUUCUUCUCUCUAGCCAAUUGUAUUACCAAAUGCCACCCCCCUUCACUCACGGUCCGUCAUGUUCCUGUAAAGAAAUUCUUCCAGUUCUCUUCUUCCUUGUUCGUCACCCAAAAGGACUUUUUGAUGGAAAUGUUCCUAGCAGGUCCUCCCCAUCAAUUACUGACUCCAGCUCCGUAAAAUAAAUGGCACUAUUGGGCGAAUAACUCAGAUGUGUUUAUUGAUCUGAAUAGCAGGGUGUUACCCAAGUCUGUAGAAUUGUUACUAGAAUACUAGGGAUUUAGGACUUUAACUUAAUAACGUUACUGAAAGCUAAAUACCCACAUCCGUGUCUCUCCCCCAUAACCAGCAAAACGGAGCAGAUAGCUCUGAACACGAUCAAUUCAUGGGUGUCGACUCAGAGUGAGAUCGUACAGCUUCAAAAGUAGAGUCGGUCUUCUCACAGCUUGACGCACACCCAGAGGAGCCCCCAGGAGGACCCCCACCUACCCACCCCUCAAGCCCGAGUCCGGGGCAGGGAAGCACAAUUUCCCCCACACCCCCCCUCACUCGGGUCCUUCCGCCGGUCGCGGAGAAAGCCCGGAGCGCGGAACCGGAGCGACCCUCGGAGGCCACUGGAUGGGCAUGCUCAGUAGACCCGCAGGUCUGGUUUCACUCGGAAGCCGGCCGCAGCCCCUGCUCCCUACUGCCCUGCACUGGCGCCGGGAGAAGCGGACAUUUUAUCUUUCUGGGCGAUCCGCUCUCUCGUUCGCGUCCUUCGCCCCUUCUCUCCUACCGGGGUCCGGUAGGGCCGCGAGUGUAGAUCUUCCCCGGGUGGGGUUGCUGGUGGGAUCUGGUAAAUCACUCCCUCCAGCCCCGCCGGGGGCGCGCGCGGGGCGGGGGUGACUUGGAGAGAACUCUGCUGUGCCCUAAGGUUUGUACCGCCCGACCCGCCCGGCAGAAGGCCCCACUGCCGCGGCGGGCUCGCUCCCCGCCCCGCGAGGCGCGCGCAGCUGCGCCCAGGCCUGUCCUCACCUCACCCCCGUUCUGCCCCUUCGGUAUUUCUCAAUGACCGGCGCUAGGAGGACACUUCCGACGGGGGAGGGAGCAGGUAUCAUUAGCGCUGGGUUUAUCAGUUCCUUCCGGUCUGCCCUGAGCCCAGCCCCGAGCGCCACUCGGCCGCGCCUCGGCGUCCCGGUGCCUUUACUAUGUUUAAGUAAGCGGUCGCGUGUGCCAAGUGAGUUUGUAGCCCAGCUGUCUCCCCCAAGACCGGCCGGCAGGAAUGGAAACCCAAGCUCUCGUAAUGAAGGGGAUGAUGCAAACUUAGAAACUGACCCGGAGCCCGGGAAUGAUGCCUCCCCCCCCCCCCCCCCCGCGGCGCGGGGCGUCCCAGUCCAGGCAUGAAUGGCUGGAGCCAGAUUGCAUAAUCUCCGCAGUAUAAAUAGCCGGCGAGCCGGCCUCUGACGCGCUCGCUCGUACCGUUAUCGUGCCAUACUUGCCCCGAUGCCGCUCACUCCCAGCUCAUUUUCCUUUUCCGUCGCGCUGCUGGGAUUUUAAGUAACAGAGAUGAAAGGCUCUUGUCCCUGUCUCCCUCCUCCCUCGAGGUCAUAUAUUAUGAAUGAAACGCCAACCUCGCGGCUCCCCAAGGUGCCCUACUGCAGUUCUCAUGUGAGGCAGUGAUGUUCGGUGCUAACCAGAAGGAGAAAGCCGGGAAAGUCAAAGGAGAGCUGAGCCAGAAUCCUGAAAUUGCUGAGCUACUGAGUUAACCGGAUCUGGAACUCACCUCCUUCUGGAUUUCAUGUUCUGUGAGACAGUAAAUCUUUAUUGCUUAAGCCACUUUUUACCAAUGUCUUGUUGCUUGAGGCCAAACUGAGUAGUUCACACAGUAUGCAUUCGUUGUGUACACUCCCUGUUUUAAGUAAAUCCCAGUGUUUCAGUGGCCGGUGCCUGGAUGGUUUGCCACCUCGCAGAAGAGAACUAACCGAUGGAGUGGACUUCUACACACGUCUGUUUGAGAUGUUAUCUGCUGACAUUUGUAGGCUGAGAAAUUUUUGUUGCUAUACACGUAACAACUAAAUAUUGGACAAUCUAUAAAAACAUAAAAACCUCUAGUCUCUGUGUGCUUGAACGUACGCAUGCCGAGUGCUUGUAAGAAGUGGUGGUUAAAACUCCAUGGUUUUGUUCCAUUGUUAUUUGUGACUAUAAAUGUAAGCCCUGUUCAUUGUACAAACAUUUGAAGCACGAAAAAGGAUAGUGAAGAAAAUAAUAUCCUAAUAAUCCCACUGUCCAGAUAUAACCCACUAAUAUUUUAUUUCUUUAUUCUGAGAGAGGGAGAGAGAAUCUCAAGCAGGCUCCACAUUCAGCACAGAGCCUGACGCUGGACUCAAUCCCAUGACUGCGAGAUCACAAUCCAAGCUGGUAUCAAGAGUUGGAUGCUCAAUGGACCGAGCCACCCAGGCGCCCCGUUAAUAUUUUAAAUGUAUAUCUUUACAGACUUUUUCUAUAUAUAGUAUAUAUUUUAAUGUAAUAUGCAGUGUAUACUUUAAUAAAAACAAGAUCAUAUUAAACCUAGCUCUUUUGUAACCCCCUAAAAAAAAAAACCCUCGGUAAUAAUAUGCAUGUAUUCAGAGUCCUAAAUGUCUCGUGUUUUCCAGGGAGCAGCUGUGAGUUGAUAACAUUCUGUUUCGUCUUCAUGUACACAAUGCAUAGGUGUAAAAAUCAUUGGCAAAAAUAGGUGACAGAUGGCAAAAUAGUUUCAUAUAAAAUAUUUUAUUCUUCUGUGCCUCUGCUGUACCCGUCUGAACUUCUACCCUAGUAUCUAUAACAAAUAUUGAACCUAUUUGCUCAACUAGCUUCUUCACCAACUAACUCUUAAAUUCCUGGAUGGGAUGGGGAAAGCAAUGACCAAAUAAACUAAAUUCUUUCUAUAUACACAUAUCUAAAUCUACCAGAAUGUGUAAUACAUGCAAAGGUUUAUGGAAUGAAUAAAAAAAAAUGCUCGUAUAGGUUUUUUUGGAUUAUAAUAAAUGUGCUAUAGGCAAAUUUAUACUAUUGGUUGCAUUGAAAUCUCAUUUCGAACCAAUUAAGUUCACGCAAUGAUUAAGAUCACAAAAGAAACAAACAUUGCUUUACUAUCAAUAUCAUCAUAAAUCUUUUAAUGGUUCUAGACUUGAAAUUUCUGCCUGAAGUUCUGUUAGUUAUGGGCUUGAAUUUUAACCAUUGACAUUUUACCUAACAAUAAACAGCUGAAAGAUAAGCAGAAGAUCCAUCAUUUACCCCGAUGUUUCAAUAAACUUGAUAUUUUGGGCUAGUAGAUUUUUAAAAAUUCCAAGUGGCAGACCAAGUGUGUUCACUUUUAUCUCAAUACUUGCUGUCAUAUAGUUGUCACGUUAUAAAUGUAUAAUCUCUACUUUCUUCCUCAUUUUCAUUCUCUCCUAAACCCACCACAGUGUAGCUUUUGUCCUCACCGUUUCACACAAGUUGCUCCUUGGUCAGGUCACUUCAUUUGAUUCCCAAAUCUGACAGUCUUUCUUCAGUAUUGAUUUGUCACCUAACAUAGCUGCCGACUUCCACCUUUUUAAAACUCUUCCUCCAGUCGCUUCCAUGACCCCAAUUUCUGGUUCCUCUUUACUUCUGUUUAUUCAUUUAUUCGGCAAAAAUUCUACUGUAAGGGUAUGCAUGAUAAAGUGGGCAUCUAUUGAGUGCUUACUAAGUAUCAGGCAAUGUUUUUAAAUUGUAAACACUUUACAUGUAUGAACUCAAUCUUACCAGCGCAGGAGUAAGCCAACUUUUCCUUAAAGGUAAGUGUCUUCUUAAAGUAAAUAUCUUUGGCUCUGCAGGCACAGUGAUAUAUGUUGCAGCCCCUCAACCCAAACCAUUUUAGCAUGGAAGUAGCCAUAGAUGAUCUAUAAGCAAAUGCACAUGGCUGUGCUCCAAUAGAACUUUAUUUACAAAACAGGUGGCUAAACUUGCCGCAGGGGCUGUAGCUUGCCAACCCCUGCUCUAAAAUCUAAUAUAAAUUCUGCACCCCCAGGCGCAAGAAGUUUUGUCUGUUUUGAUACACAAUAGAUAGUAAACAUUUGGUAAAUGAAUACUCUUCCUCUAAGAUAGGAACUAUUCUAAUCUCCAUUUUCCAAAUAAGGAGAUGGAAGCAUAAAGGUUAAAUAACUUGCCAAAAGUCACCAACUGAUACGUAACAGAUCCAGGAUCUAAGCCCACACGGUCUUAUAUCGGGGCCCGUACUCUUCAUCACUACACUGGACAGCGGUGGCACAGAGGAGAAAGUUGCACAGCUAAUCUCAUGAGAAUCUGGAGAAGUUUUUUUAACUGAAUCUUGAAGGAUGAAGAAUUCGCCAGGGAGAAGACGGGAAGGAGAGGCUUCACAUUCUACUACGGAGAAACUGCAGGUGUAUGAAAAAGGGCAGACUGACACAAAGUGGCAUUAUGGGCAAACGGGCAGCAAAGGAAGAUUGCUGCUUGGAGAAUGCAUUCGCUUGUCAGUAGUUCACAUGGCUGGACACAGGCCAUGAGAUGAGAAGUGGUGGAGAUGAGGCUAAACAAGUAUGCCAGGGGCCUUGUGUGACACGUGAAUAAAUUUGGAUUUUAACUUGGCAGCAUGUGGGCUACUGAAGUGUUUUGAGCAUGGGAAGGAAUGACCAUAUUUGCAUUUUGGGUCGAUUUUUAAAGUUACAUUUUGUUUUAAAAUUAGAUGAUACAAGCAUCUUGUAGGACAUUUAAAAGCUGGGAAGGUCAUUCUCCUGCCCUCUUCCCGCCAUCUAGCUCCUUGUCCCAGAGGCACCACUGUUUGCGGUUAGAAAGACCUUCACUUAUAGCAGGAAGAACGGAUGGGGUCAGGGUGAGCUGGGUGUCUUGUUAAUUAAUUUAAGUUAAUUUAAUUAGUAAAAUUAAUUAGUAAAUUAAUUUAAAUUUUCUCCUUAGGGUAGAUGAUAAUGAAAAAAGGGUGAGAAAGACUGCCUUACACCUUCGUAAAUAGUUCCUCUAUUCAAUCCUCUUCAAAGGACUCAAGUUGAGUGUGCAUCUGUUUCUGCCCAUGUACCUGACGGAUAAUAGUGAAACUAGGAUGGAGAGUAAUUAUCCACGUGGUACAUGAUCAUAAAGAAAGGCCAUAUAACAUCUUGGCAAGCAGCAUAGACUGCUGGGAUUAGAAUCCUGGCUCUGCUAUUUGCUAGCCGUGUGACUUUAACCUCUCUGUGCCUCUCUCCAAAAUGGGGAUAAUAAUGGUAGUUAUGUCCUAAUGGUUGUGAGGAUAUCAUUCAAUGUGUGUUAGCUAAUUGCUCAAAGAAUCCUGAUGAUAAGAGCUUCAAAGGAGAAGGGGGUUUUGCAAGAGUGAAGGUGUAGAAAUAAAAUUAAGGAAUGUGGAGAAUGUCAACAGAACUUCCCAUGCCCAUGGGUUGUGGGCAUGAGAAAAGAAGUAGCAGCCUUUCUAGGAUUUAACAAGGAACAUCCCUCAGGGAAUAUGUUUACUUUGCAGGAAGGCAAAGAAGGAGCUAGGAGGUUGUGAAAAGAAGUUUACAAUUGAAUGGAGGUUCUGAGGCACGGAGGAAAGACCUGAGAAAGAGGAAGGCAAAAGGUAGACACAAAGCCCAGAGCAAGGUGGCAGAUUUAGAUUAAGGUGAGGGAGAAGAGACCUAGCUGGAGGCAGGGCCACCAUAUAUGACAACUCAGGUUGAACAGGGAAGGCAGUGGGGAACUACGGUCAUAUCUAGCCAGCUGCCUAUUUUUGAAAAGCCCACGAGCUAAGAAUUUUUUUCACAUUUUCUUGUUGAGAGAAAGUGCAAGUGUACAUGCAUGUGCAAGUGGGGGUGGAGCAGAGGGGGGCGGGGAGAGAGAGAGAGAGAGAGAGAGAGAGAGAGAGAGAGAGAGAAUCUUAAGCAAGGUCCACGCUCAGCGCAGAGCCUGACUCAGUGCUCAGUGUAAUGAACCGUGAGAUCAUGACCUGAGCCAAAAUCAAAAGUCAGAUGUUUAACUAACUGUGCCCUCCAGGUACCCCUGGUUUUUACAUUUUUAAAUAAUUUUUUAAAUUGAAAGAAUAACAUUUCACAAUACAUGAAAAUAAUGUGUAAUUCAAUCUCAGUGUCUAUAAAUAAAGUUUUCUUGUAUCAUG